rnacentral:rRNA from 1 species
UACGGGGGGGGCAAGCGUUGUUCGGAAUCACUGGGCGUAAAGCGCACGUAGGCGGGUUGUUAAGUCGGGGGUGAAAUCCUGGAGCUCAACUCCAGAACUGCCUUCGAUACUGGCGACCUUGAGUCCGGGAGAGGUGAGUGGAACUCCGAGUGUAGAGGUGAAAUUCGUAGAUAUUCGGAAGAACACCAGUGCCGAAGGCGGCUCACUGGCCCGGUACUGACGCUGAGGUGCGAAAGCGUGGGGAGCAAACAGG